UUUAAUACUGAAAGUCUUCAUUCUAAGCAACAAUUAAUGUUUAUCCAAGCUUUUUAAAAAAUGCUCGAAGUGUAUUUUUCUCAAAAAUGCUUUUCAAGAAAUUGCUUUUGGGGAGAAGCUAUUUUUUUCUGCUUUUCAAUAAUUGUUUCUACUUCUACUAAAAAACACCUUUUUUCCUUCAAAAGGCUUGACCAAACACCUUAACUUUGGGGAAGAAAAAAAUACCUUUGGCAAAAAAAAAAAAAAAA
rnacentral:lncRNA from 1 species